rnacentral:lncRNA from 1 species
AACGGGACAAAAGCCUUUUUUGGUAAUGUUUUACGGCUGGCGGAGAGGUCCCGCGGCUUUGUCUAUAUUGCAUUCUAGUGAUAAAAAAGGUCUUACAUUAACGAUGUGUUUGGAUGUGUGUAUUCGAGACCUCCAUAUUGUAUUGGUUUCAGUUCCAUUCAGCCACAAACAAGGGCGGAUCCAGCCCUGCGGGGUGCCUCGGUCCUCUUUGUACACUGUAGCGAUUGCUAU